rnacentral:rRNA from 1 species
UAACCUACCCAUCAGAGGGGGAUAACACUUGGAAACAGGUGCUAAUACCGCAUAACAGUUUAUGCCGCAUGGCAUAAGAGUGAAAGGCGCUUUCGGGUGUCGCUGAUGGAUGGACCCGCGGUGCAUUAGCUAGUUGGUGAGGUAACGGCUCACCAAGGCCACGAUGCAUAGCCGACCUGAGAGGGUGAUCGGCCACACUGGACUGAGACACGGCCAG